rnacentral:rRNA from 1 species
CUCAGUUCGGAUUGUAGUCUGCAACUCGACUACAUGAAGCUGGAAUCGCUAGUAAUCGUAGAUCAGCAUGCUACGGUGAAUACGUUCCCGGGUCUUGUACACACCGCCCGUCACACCACGAGAGUUUGUAACACCCGAAGCCGGUGGAGUAACCUUUUAGGAGCUAGCCGUCGAAGGUGGGACAAAUGAUUGGGGUGAAGUCGUAACAAGGUAGCCGUAUCGGAAGGUGCGGCUGGAUCACCUCCUUU